ACGUCGCAUGCUCCCGGCCGCCAUGGCGGCCGCGGGAAUUCGAUUCUUCAGUCCGCAAGGACUGAAGUGAGUGGCGAACGGCUGAGUAACACGUAGGUGACCUGCCCCGAAGUUUGGGAUAACAACUCGAAAGAGUUGCUAAUACCGGAUGUGACCACCGAUUCAUUUCGGUGCUUAAAGUCGCAAGACGCUUUGGGAGGGGCCUGCGGCGGAUUAGCUAGUUGGUGUGGUAACGGCAUACCAAGGCUUCGAUCCGUAGCUGGUCUGAGAGGAUGGCCAGCCAGACUGGGACUGAGACACGGCCCAGACUCCUACGGGAGGCAGCAGUGGGGAAUUGUUCGCAAUGGGCGCAAGCCUGACGACGCAACGCCGCGUGGAGGAUGAAGGUCUUCGGAUUGUAAACUCCUGUUGAUCGGGACGAACAACCAUCGGGAUAACACCCCGGAGGUCUGACGGUACCGAUUGAGGAAGCCCCGGCUAACUCUGUGCCAGCAGCCGCGGUAAUACGAAUCACUAGUGAAUUCGCGGCCGCCUGCAGGUCGACCAUAUGGGAGAGCUCCCAACGCGU
rnacentral:rRNA from 1 species